rnacentral:rRNA from 1 species
GGGAGGCAGCAGUGGGGAAUCUUGCGCAAUGGGGGAAACCCUGACGCAGCAACGCCGCGUGGGUGAUGAAGGCCUUCGGGUCGUAAAGCCCUGUCAGGUGGGAAGAAACCUGUGGAUGCUAAUAUCAUUCACAAUUGACGGUACCGCCGAAGGAAGCACCGGCUAACUCCGUGCCAGCAGCCGCGGUAAUACGGAGGGUGCGAGCGUUGUUCGGAAUUAUUGGGCGUAAAGCGCGUGUAGGUGGUCGGGUAAGUCAGAUGUGAAAGCCUUCUGCUUAACAGAAGAAGUGCAUUUGAAACUGCUCGGCUAGAGUACGGGAGAGGGGAGUGGAAUUCCCGGUGUAGAGGUGAAAUUCGUAGAUAUCGGGAGGAACACCAGUGGCGAAGGCGGCUCUCUGGUCCGAUACUGACGCUGAGACGCGAAAGCGUGGGGAGCAAACAGGAUUAGAUACCCCGGUAGU